rnacentral:rRNA from 1 species
AACGAACGCUGGCGGCAUGCCUAACACAUGCAAGUCGAACGAGACCUUCGGGUCUAGUGGCGCACGGGUCCGUAACCCGUUGUAACCUGCCCUUAGGUUCGGAAUAACUCCCCGAAUGGGGUGCUAAUACCGGAUAAUGUCUUCCGACCAAAGUUUUAUCGCCUUUGGAUGGUCCCGCGUUCGAUUAGUUUGUAGUUAGCGUAAAAGCCUAGCAAGGCGUCGUUCCAUAGCUGGUAUGAGAGGAUGAUAAGGCACACUGGGACUGUGACACGGCCCAAAGUACUACGGGAGGGAGCAGUGGGGAACAAUGGACACUGGGCGAAAGCAUGAUGCAGUAGUGGCGCGUGAGUGAUGAAGGCCUGAGGAUUGUAAAGAUCUUUUACCCGGGAUGAUAAUGACAGUACCGGGAGAAUAAGCCCCGGCUAACUCCGUG